AACGAACGCUGGCGGCAGGCUUGACACAUGCAAGUCGAACGCAUCCUUCGGGGUGAGUGGCAGACGGGUGAGUAACGCGUGGGAACGUGCCCUUCAGUUCGGAAUAACCCAGGGAAACUUGGGCUAAUACCGGAUACGUGCGAGAGCAGAAAGAUUUAUCGCUGAAGGAUCGGCCCGCGUCUGAUUAGCUAGUUGGUAGGGUAAUGGCCUACCAAGGCGACGAUCAGUAGCUGGUCUGAGAGGAUGAUCUGCCACAUUGGGACUGAGACACGGCCCAAACUCCUACGGGAGGCAGCAGUGGGGAAUAUUGGACAAUGGGCGCAAGCCUGAUCCAGCCAUGCCGCGUGAGUGAUGAAGGCCUUAGGGUUGUAAAGCUCUUUCGUCCGGGACGAUAAUGACGGUACCGGAAGAAGAAGCCCCGGCUAACUUCGUGCCAGCCGCCGCCGUAAUAC
rnacentral:rRNA from 1 species